CCGCAGGGUCUACACCAUGGGGGGUCGAUGGGAGAAAAUCUCCUGUUGGCUUACCUUACUCUUCUCAUCGGGGAAAUAGGGUGACCAGGG